GAUGAAGAACGCAGUGAAAUGCGAUACGUAAUGUGAAUUGCAGAAUUCAGUGAAUCAUCGAAUCUUUGAACGCAUAUUGCGCUCUCUGGUAUUCCGGAGAGCAUGCUUGUUUGAGUAUCAGUAAACACCUCAACUUCCAUAUCUUUUUUUGAAAUGGGAGUUGGACUUGAGUGAUCCCAACGCUUUUCCUCACCGAAAAGUGGCGGGUUACUUGAAAUGCAGGUGCAGCUGGACUUUUCUCUGAGCUAUAAGCAUAUCUAUUUAGUCUGCCUAAAAAACAGAUUAUUACCUUUGCUGCAGCUAACAUAAAGGAGAUUAGUUCUUGUGCUGACUGAUGCAGGAUUCACAAAGACAGCUUCGGCCGACUUUGUAAACUCGCUCUCAAAUCAAGUAAGACUACCCGCUGAACUUAAGCAUAUCAAUAAGCGGAGGA
rnacentral:misc_RNA from 1 species